rnacentral:rRNA from 1 species
CUUUCCAUGCAGUCGACGGCAGCGCGGGCUUCGGCCUGGCGGCGAGUGGCGAACGGGUGAGUAAUAUAUCGGAACGUACCCAAGAGUGGGGGAUAACGUAGCGAAAGUUACGCUAAUACCGCAUACGAUCUAAGGAUGAAAGCAGGGGAUCUUCGGACCUUGUGCUCCUGGAGCGGCCGAUAUCUGAUUAGCUAGUUGGUGAGGUAAAGGCUCACCAAGGCAACGAUCAGUAGCUGGUCUGAGAGGACGACCAGCCACACUGGAACUGAGACACGGUCCAGACUCCUACGGGAGGCAGCAGUGGGGAAUUUUGGACAAUGGGGGCAACCCUGAUCCAGCAAUGCCGCGUGAGUGAAGAAGGCCUUCGGGUUGUAAAGCUCUUUUGUCAGGGAAGAAAAGGCUGUGGCUAAUAUCCACAGCUGCUGACGGUACCUGAAGAAUAAGCACCGGCUAACUACGUGCCAGCAGCCGCGGUAAUACGUAGGGUGCAAGCGUUAAUCGGAAUUACUGGGCGUAAAGCGUGCGCAGGCGGUUUCGUAAGUCUGUCGUGAAAUCCCCGGGCUUAACCUGGGAAUGGCGAUGGAGACUGCGAGGCUAGAGUUUGGCAGAGGGGGGUAGAAUUCCACGUGUAGCAGUGAAAUGCGUAGAGAUGUGGAGGAACACCGAUGGCGAAGGCAGCCCCCUGGGUCAAAACUGACGCUCAUGCACGAAAGCGUGGGGAGCAAACAGGAUUAGAUACCCUGGUAGUCCACGCCCUAAACGAUGUCUACUAGUUGUUGGGUCUUAAUUGACUUAGUAACGCAGCUAACGCGUGAAGUAGACCGCCUGGGGAGUACGGUCGCAAGAUUUA